rnacentral:lncRNA from 1 species
CCAUGCUCCUGCAAACUUGCUCCUGUUUGCUAGCAAGAUGAGUCGGGAUCUUAUUUUUCUUCACCUGAUAGUGGCAAAAAUAACUCAAGCGUUCCAUCACUCUGCAAUCCGACAAGAACAACUCAAGCGUUCUGCAAUCUAUGGGCCUUGAGGUGCGGAUUUGAAAGCCCUCCGAUCUUUAUAUGCUGGGCAUUGUUUGGAUCCCUCUCCUCCAUCUUCCCUCCUCAUCCUAAAAAAAUUUGUCAGAUUAUUACUGUCUCUUAGUAACUGCUUGAUCUUGUACAAUAUUCUGAUCCCUUUAAUCUAGCAAAUGACCUAUAGUUCACCAUCCAGCUGAUUUGACAUUAAUCUAUAGUUGAUCUUUCUGUUGACUACUUCGGUCGACGGUCCUCUUGCUUGGUCUAUCAAAUACCAUACUUGGCCACUUCCUUGGACAAAACCAAAUG